CAGUCGCCGCGGGAAUACGUAGGGUGCGAGCGUUAAUCGGAAUUACUGGGCGUAAAGCGUGCGCAGGCGGUUAUGUAAGACAGGUGUGAAAUCCCCGGGCUUAACCUGGGAACUGCGCUUGUGACUGCACAGCUAGAGUAUGGCAGAGGGGGGUGGAAUUCCACGUGUAGCAGUGAAAUGCGUAGAGAUGUGGAGGAACACCGAUGGCGAAGGCAGCCCCCUGGGCCAAUACUGACGCUCAUGCACGAAAGCGUGGGGAGCAAACAGGAUUAGAUACCCCUGUAGUCCCUGUCUCUUAUAC
rnacentral:rRNA from 1 species